rnacentral:rRNA from 1 species
AUACGUAGGUGACAAGCGUUAUCCGGAUUUACUGGGCGUAAAGGGCGUGUAGGCGGUCUUGCAAGUCAGAAGUGAAAUUCCUGAGCUCAACUCGGGCGCUGCUUCUGAAACUGCAGGACUUGAGUGCUGGAGGGGAUAGCGGAAUUCCUAGUGGAGCGGUAAAAUGCGCAGAUAUUAGGAAGAACACCGGUGGCGAAGGCGGCUAUCUGGACAGUAACUGACGCUGAGGCGCGAAAGCGUGGGGAGCGAACAGGAUUAGAUACCCUGGUAGUCCACACUGUAAACGAUGAAUGCUAGGUGUAAGAGGUAUCGACCCCUUUUGUGCCGGAGUCAACACAAUAAGCAUUCCGCCUGGGGAGUACGGCCGCAAGGUUGAAACUCAAAGGAAUUGGCGGGG